GAGCAUGUGCAUGAGUAUCGGUUUCUUUCGUUCAUCUUUAAAACCCUUUCAGUUUUAAUAAAACCUUUUUAGGGUUUAGUGGUGUACCUUUCACUUCUUCGAAUCGUCGUUGAUUUUAGCAGCCAUGGCGAGCACCAAAGUUCAGAGGGUUAUGACCCAACCUAUUAACUUGAUUUUCAGGUUUCUUCAGAGCAAAGCACGCAUUCAGAUUUGGCUUUUUGAGCAAAAGGAUUUGAGGAUUGAAGGCAGAAUCAUUGGUUUUGAUGAAUAUAUGAAUUUGGUCCUUGAUGAUGCUGAAGAAGUGAACAUCAAGAAGAAAAGCAAAAAGACAUUAGGGAGGAUCCUUCUUAAAGGAGACAACAUAACUUUAAUGAUGAACACGGGGAAAUGAUGAAGACUCUGUGGGACAGUUGUAAACUAUCUUUCCUGUCCAUCAAGGAGGAAUUUGCUAGAUUGGUUCCUUUGGGAUGUCUUUUUGCUGUAUUUGCUAAGGUUUUGCUGGAGGCAAAUGCCCGUUAUGCAAGGUUAUGAAAUAGAGCAUUUUGACGGCAAUCAGUUUUAGAUCUGUUGAUUUGGACUGCUUCCAAAUGCUGUGCAAAUUUCUAGAAGAUUACUUGAAGUAUGGAAUGUUCUAGACUUCUAGUAGCAUUUAUGGUGAGGAAGUUGUACAAGUAAAUUUUGGCAACAGAUUUUAUGGUGGAGGGUAGCAAUUUCUUGUAGUGAUUAUUCUUGAGUUCUCGUACUCAUUGUCUUAUUCUCCUAGGCUAUCUUUCAUUUAAUAGAAAUGGAAAUGUGUUAGUCGUUAUUGUUUGAAUCCUUAGAAAUUAUAAAGGAUAUAACAAACUGGGUAACUCUUCCAUCUCAUUCCAUCCAAUGCACAUUUUAACUUCUCUAAUUUGGGAGGUAUGGGAGGAUGAGCCAACUCUUUAUUUAAAAUAACCAUCAAAUUGAUUUUUUUUUUCCUUAA